GUGGGGAAUUUUGGACAAUGGGCGCAAGCCUGAUCCAGCAAUGCCGCGUGCAGGAAGAAGGCCUUCGGGUUGUAAACUGCUUUUGUACGGAACGAAACGGUCCGGGUUAAUACCCUGGGCUAAUGACGGUACCGUAAGAAUAAGCACCGGCUAACUACGUGCCAGCAGCCGCGGUAAUACGUAGGGUGCAAGCGUUAAUCGGAAUUACUGGGCGUAAAGCGUGCGCAGGCGGUUUUGUAAGCCAGGCGUGAAAUCCCCGGGCUCAACCUGGGAAUUGCGCUUGUGACUGCAAGGCUGGAGUGCGGCAGAGGGGGAUGGAAUUCCGCGUGUAGCAGUGAAAUGCGUAGAUAUGCGGAGGAACACCGAUGGCGAAGGCAAUCCCCUGGGCCUGCACUGACGCUCAUGCACGAAAGCGUGGGGAGCAAACAGGAUUAGAAACCCUUGUAGUCC
rnacentral:rRNA from 1 species